GGGAAGGGAAGUAGGAAGUCCUUUUUUCUGUACACUCGCAUAUUGCGACAACUUUUGCACGAAAUAUAAAUGAAUAUGUACUGUACUCCGAGAAUAUGUCCUGUAGAAAAUUAAUUUUUCGAUAGGGAAAAUACCCUGACUGAAUUUUGAACGGUAUGUUACGCCAUAAUAUGUAUGCUUGAUUAUACAUAUACAGUCAACUCUUUUGUAAGCGGACACCCUCGGGAAUUGGAGAAAGUGUGCGUCAGUAGAAAAUUCCGUCUACGAGAAUAUUUUCCAAGAGCAGAAAUCAGAAAAAAAUAGUGGAGUGCGUUAAGCCGGAUUCUUGUUACUGUCAAACGAACGCACAACAUGCUUUCCCGCAGACAAAUGGAGAUUUGACAAAACUGAUCCACACUGUUCUGUUGCUUUGUCAGAGGUUAUACUUUUGUUGACUCACAAACUCAAGACACUGAUAUUGAUCCGACAAAUCUUACUGCCAAGAGUCAAUUAUAUAUACAUGGGGUUUCCGCUUUGGAGAGAGAUAAACGAAAAAAAAAAAAAAAAAGGACAGUUUCGCUUUUCAAAGUGUCCGCGUCCGCUUUCGGGAGAGUAUUCGCUUACGGGAAUGUGUAAAUACAGAGUUUAGCUGGGAGGCAAAAAAGGGGAAUUGAAGAAAGAGUCUGUUAGAGGAGAGUUGACAGUAAUUUAUAGCUCUGAUGAAAGGCAGAACGUCAAAUAAUAAAAGGAAGAAAAAAUUACACGUGUGGAUGUUAUAAAUGCCAAAUCUUCCAAAGCGCAGAGAGACUACAGCAUCUGUUACGAUUACUUACGUGACAUAGCAGAUACCGCUGGACAGGUCUCAGAAAUAAACAAUACCACCGUCUCGCCAUCGUGUCCUCUCUGGAGCGAAACUGAAAGAAUAAGGAAAGUCCGCUGCAAACCCUUGCACGCGCUCGGCUGUCGGUGACCUUCGAUCUUGGUGUCAAUUACCAUAUUAGAAUAUGAAGUUUUCUCGUUGGACGUUCCCUCUUUUUGUCACUGUCUUGAUCCCUGCAGCUUGUGCUCUUCAGUGCAAUGUAUGUCAUUUUGAUACUCAAUUAAAUCAGAACGCUUGCAACACCACCGUUAAGAAUUGUCCGAAAGACUCGACAUUCUGCAUGACUCAGUCAGACCGCAGACCAGAUGGAAGCAGGACAUUCACGAGGGACUGUGUACCCCCUAGGGUUUGCAGAAAGGACUAUUGCAAGGAAGAGAUCAUAAAUAGAAUAGGACGGACGGAUUGUAACAUCACCUGCUGUCAGGAAGAUUUUUGCAACACAACAGUUGGCAGCAAAGGACAUAUGACACGUACCAACUGUAUGUUAGAAUACUUUCUCAUUAUUGUAGGUAUCUGGUUUUCUCUUCUAGGAAGACAGUUGCAACUUUAAAAAGUUUAUUUUAGCUUUAGGCAGUUUCCUUCGAAUUCGCAGCCUUUGUUGGGAUCGUCAAGUAACACACUUUAUCCCUCUCUAAAAGCAAAUGUUGCCAAGGAGUUGGAAUUCGGUGAUGAAGAAAGAGUUAAGGAUUUACUUUUCUGUGCGUCACGCUUUACUAACUGUACCAGCCAUUCUUACUUUUCUGGAAAUCUUGACAACAGAGUCAAUUAUCUCGUCACCAACUCUUUUCAGCUUAUCACAAUUUGUGAUAAAUAAGCCCGAAUAAAUUCUUCAUAAACCUACUUAUUUGCAUAAGCCUAAAGGGCAAUUCGUAAUCUUUUAAAAAAAAAUAAACAGGUGCUCAUUCAUUCCGAAUGGCACCCGAAAAUCAUUGUCGUAUAAACUGAAUUGAACCUUGAACACUGCUAUUGUUGUCACGUAAGCUUGCCAUGCGGUCAUGUUGUAAUCGUAAGCGCGCGCAAGUCACAUGGCAAAGACUGCAUUCGGAACGCCAUUUGGAAAUAUAGUGGUGUUUGAUUAUUGAAA